rnacentral:rRNA from 1 species
UACGUAGGGACCGAGCGUUGUCCGGAUUCAUUGGGCGUAAAGAGCUCGUAGGCGGCUGUUCAAGUCGAACGUGAAAACUCGGAGCUCAACUCCGAGCCUGCGUUCGAUACUGGACGGCUAGAGUCUGGUAGGGGGAUCUGGAAUUCCUGGUGUAGCGGUGGAAUGCGCAGAUAUCAGGAGGAACACCAGUGGCGAAGGCGACUUCCUGGCCUGUUCUUGACGCUGAGGCGCGAAAGCUAGGGGAGCAAACGGG